rnacentral:lncRNA from 1 species
GGACUAAAGCCAAUUAGAUUGGUAUCAAAAAUCUAUCUUCCAUUUGUAAUCAUUGAACUUUUUAAAUUUGAUUGCUCUAGUCAAUGGGUCGAUCAAGUUCUCCUUUCAGUCGAUCUUCCUAAGAUCGAUUUUAUUUUGAUCUUAUCGAACAAGGUGAUUGCAAUACAGAAAAUAUUUAAUUUUCAGAUGGAACAUCAGUUCUUCAGUUUGAGCUAUGGCUCCAGUACUGCUGUCAAUAUAGAA